UUGGAGGGCAAGUCUGGUGCCAGCAGCCGCGGUAAUUCCAGCUCCAAUAGCGUAUAUUAAAGUUGUUGCAGUUAAAAAGCUCGUAGUUGAAUUUCGGGAUCAGCAAGUUGGUCGUGCCUCUGGUACGUACUGGCUUUACUGGUUCCUCCUUCUUGAAGAACUGUAAUGUCAUUAAUUUGGUGUUGCAGGGAAACAGGACUGUUACUUUGAAAAAAUUAGAGUGUUUAAAGCAGGCUCGCGCUUGAAUACAUUAGCAUGGAAUAAUGAAAUAGGACGUUGAUCCUAUUUUGUUGGUUUCUAGGAUUGACGUAAUGAUUAAUAGGGAUAGUUGGGGGCAUUAGUAUUCAAUUGUCAGAGGUGAAAUUCUUGGAUUUAUUGAAGACUAACUACUGCGAAAGCAUUUGCCAAGGAUGUUUUCAUUAAUCAAGAACGAAAGUUAGGGGAUCGAAGACGAUCAGAUACCGUCGUAGUCUUAACCAUAAACUAUGCCGACUAGGGAUCGGAUGAUGUUAUUUUUAAUGACUCAUUCGGCGCCUUACGGGAAAC
rnacentral:rRNA from 1 species